GUCCACUAAUUCAUAACCACUUACUUUUGCGGACUUUACCGAACCAAAUCGGACUGCGUCAGCUGUUAUCACGAAAACGAAAAGAGUUGUUUCCCUGACCAAUUAUCAAUAAAGUCAUUUCUUCUUCCCUUUAGCAAUUAAGAUUCUUUUUGUUGAAGUAAAAGCGUUUAUUUUUCAUUUCGUCGGGGAAAAUGUUUUCAUUUUGAAAACGAAGCAAUCUUGCGGAAUGUGAGCACCAAUUUUUAUGAAUUUGAAAAGUAACUUAUUUCGAACUUAAGAUAAUAACAAUGAAUAAAAUUAAUUAAUUGUGGAAAAGGAAGAAAUCUACAAGCAACUGUCUGACGGCUCCCUUCCCCUGGCAAAAGUCAAAAUGAAUCCCAGCUGGCAGCGCAUUGUGCUGUCGAAGGGACCUACAAAUGAGUUCAUUAAAGUUAUAAUUGGUCCGGUGGAGAUCAACUACAAAGGGGGCACGGGUCCUUAGGUUCCUGGCAGGCGCACUGAAGCUAAUCCUACUAAGCAGGUCAGGACAAUCGAUGUUACCCAGAAGGUCAUAAAUAAAGAUCUGAGCUGCAAUGGUCCUUCGAUCCUCGAGAGAGGAGAAAUGCACGAGGCGACAUCUGCACUCAUACGACGGCAACGGAAUGAAGAAGGGCAGAGGCUGAAGUGCAAAUUUAAGACAUUUUCCUUGCAGUUUUUCGAUGCGUGAGAUUUGAACGACACCAGUGGGAUUCCAGACCAUGGAAGCGUACUCCAGACGCGAUCGAGCAAAAAAUGAGUACAAGCUUAACCUCGUAUAUGGGUCCCUGAACUGGGAUGAAUUGCGCUUAACAAAGCCAAACAUGGCAUAUGCUUUUGGCAAUAUCAAAUUCAGAUGCUCAGGAAAAAAAAAAUCUUAAGUCGAAUAAGACCCCUAGGUCAAAGAGAGGAUUGCCAUCAAUAGAAUAUGAGGCCAGCACUGUGAGGACACACUUGCUAAAGGAAACAAAGCAACAUUUGCUAACGUUGAGGGCGAGCGAAUUAAGUCUGCAACGACGAGCAACUCUAUCCAGGUCGCGCUGAAGAAGGAAACUGUCGCCUAAGGCUUUGAUCGAUCGGAAGAUUUAAAGAUCAUCAUCAUAAAGCAGAUGUUCAGAAGCUUGAAUGCUGAAAGAUAUGUCGUUGAUAAAAAUUGAGAAGAGAAGUGGACCAAGUGCACUUCCCUGUGGAAGGCCGGAGGUAGCCAAGAAUGGGUCCGAAGGCUUUCCAUUUACCAAUACGACAUACUCUCGCAGCUCAAGAUAUGAUCUAAACCAACUGAGCAGGCAGAAAUGAAUCCCUGACCGAUGCAGCUUGGCUAUUAGGGCACACAGGGAGACUUUGUCAAAGGCUUUAGCAAAGUCAGUAUACACAACAUCUAAUUGAGAGUGCGUUUCAAAGACACGAGUGCAGAAAUUACUGAAAGCGAUGAGCUUAGUUAUCUUUCUGGCAAAGAUUCGCUCUAGAAAGUUUGAAACAUUGCUGAGUUUGACGAUUGAUCUAUAAUUGGAGAUACGAUUUUUGGCACCUUUUCUUUUUUAAGUUGGCGUAAUCGAGGCAGAUUUCCACUUUCCAAUAAACCGACCCGUUGACAACGAA